rnacentral:misc_RNA from 1 species
UGGUCGUGACAAUUGCAGGGUGCUUCCACGUUAGUAAUCCCUCAAGAUUCAAUAGGGAAAUCACUUUCUCACAAAGAAAUCCCACAAGCGACAAAAGCAGAAGAGUAUCAGAUUCAAGAUGACAGUGUUAAUAGUGGAGAACUUUUUAUGAUUCCUUGUCACGAUAUCUAAGCAUACAGAGGCUUUAUCAUGAUGGGAAUGGAAAUUAAUUGGAGAUGACUUGGUUAUGCG